rnacentral:piRNA from 1 species
GGGACGCUGAGCGCCACUUUCCU